CGCUGGAGGGGGGCCGGGGCCCGGGCCGCGCAGACCCUGGGCGGCGCGCACUGGCGGACGCUGAGCUGCGCGCCUGGCUCCUAGCCCGCC
ensembl:miRNA Gm27852 predicted gene, 27852